rnacentral:piRNA from 1 species
UGGCAGUAUUUGAAAUACUUU